rnacentral:lncRNA from 1 species
UAAGAGCGAGCCCGACUGCUCUCUCUCCCUGGCACGCCCGUCCCCUUCCUCCCUCGCGUCACCCUCCUCUCUACAGCCGCAGCUGAGCGCCACCAUCGCCGUGUCGCCAUGGCCACCGGCUACCCCGCGUCACUGGAGCAUGUCCAGGAGGCACAUAGGCGUCGCCUUCAUCGAAUACGACACCGGACCGAGGCGGGGAAACCUCAUCGGCACCGCCGUCGGCUAGUCUUCUUCAUCGGCCUCCGCCACUUCUCGCCAAUGAUUCAUCGCCCAGGUCCACCCCCGGCUCCCCGAGCUCCCCUCUGGCCUCUCGGUGAGCUCGCGCAUCCCCUACCUCGCCCUGUGUCCUGGCUGCGCUCCUGGCCUGCCCGCGCUCGUGCGGCUGCCUGCCGCCGCCGUCCGCCGCUCACCCCGCUGCUACAAGCCACCGUAGUUCCCGCCGCUGCUGCCGUUGGAUGCGCUUAGUCGCGCAGGUCAUGUAGAGCGCACCAGCGCGUGCAGCCAUCGCCGGAAUUGGCCGGCCGGAGCUCCUCUGCCACGCCGUAUUAGCGUCGUUGUUAUGCCGAUGACGUGGCGUUGUCAUUAGCUCUAAUUAACCCGGCUAACCCCACUGAUAGUGGGCCCCAUGCCACUAACUAACUAGUUAAGUUUUGUUAAAAAAUGUUAACUAGUCAGAGUCAAUGACAGGCGGGUCCCACUGGACCCGCUGACCAGUCAACUGUUGCGUUGGCAGUUGACUGGCCCCGCCUAUCGGCCACUAGUGCAAAUCUGGGUGCACUGCACCGGGUGCACCCAGCCCCUUUCUGACUUUUUGGUUAAUUUGAAUUUAAUAAUUGAAAUAAAUUCAAAAAAUGUUUAAAACUUUAGAAAUUAAUAUAAAAUAAUCUAUAAGUCAGAUGAAAAUAAUUUAUAUAUGAAAAUCAAUCAGAAAAAUAUGAUGAAUCUGAAUAUGUCAUCCACAUACCUACGACACCCCUCCAACACUGCAAAUAUGGAACCUUCCCCUUCGGUUCAUCUGUCCGAUAAUUGCCUGGAGUCGGGAAAAUAUUCUCGGUUAUUUUCUCACUCCACCUAUAACACUUAGCACUGCGUUAGGUCACCCCUAGCUUAGCUUACUGCCUUGUCAUGCUUUGUGUUGCAUUUGUAUGCCUAUUAUUUAUUGUUUAUUCCCCCUCCUUCUCCGGUAGACCCCAAGACCGUUGCCGAUGCCCGUGUGAUCGACUACAUCGGCAAUGUUCCGUAGCUAUCUGCGGAGCUUCCAGGCAAGCAAACCCCCCUUGAUCAUUCUGAUGUCACCCAUUCCAUUCUUUCUCAUGCCUACAUUAGAUUUUGCUUUUGUAAAUGAUUACUCAUAUUCUGAUGCAUAGCUUGCUUUUAUAACCUUCUUUUGUACCUUACCUGCUUAUCAUAUAUGCUUAUAGGUUGGUUAGUGAUCCAUUAGUGACCCCUCAUCUUGUCCUUGUUGCCCCCGCUGGAUUAUCAGAUGACUCGAUCGACGUCCAGAGCCUGACACAUAACCUCACCCUCUUUAGUUGUACGACUCUGCAGGUUGCUAUCGAGUGCCGAGGGUGAUACAUCGUAACGCACUUUUGAUGAUAUCUCUGUAGUGUAUCAAUUCAGUCAUGGUCCUCGAGGGUGAUUCCUCCUUCACCACUCCUGAUACGACUCUGUCGUGCAACGCCUCAAGUGUGAACCUCAAGGAUGAUUCCUCUUACUUCACCUUGAUGAUUACAUCAAGUGUAUUCCAUCGAGGGUGGUUUCUCGGAUUCCCCCCUUGUUGUUUUGGACACACGGUUACUUUGACUUUACCACAGAACCAUGAUGAAGUCGGGUCGGCGCCGUGGGGUACCCGCGAGAGAUUUACUGAAGUCGGGUUGAUCUGGAGGGUACCCACGGGAUGAUUAUGUGGCACGACCGGGAAGACAAACAGCCCUGCAGUGGGCUAGGCCUGACCCUUGCCUCAAGUCCUCUAGAUGGGGUGACAGAAGCAAUGAUCAUCACUGCGCGCUCCCAAGACACUAACGAGAUUGGGUAUUUGAUCUGAGUUGGUCUUUGACCUAUACGCACUAACCACCACACGGGAACAGUUACGGGCACUCGAUGCCGUCUGUAUCAACUGAAGCUCUUUGGAUGUGAGCGACUGAGCGGCGCGCACCCGGGUGGUCCGCAUAAGCACUUGCAUUGUAUAAGGAGGUCGCCAGGACUGAUCCCGUCCGCCCUCGUAACGUGCAGGAGUGCAAAGGGCGAUGGACCCACCCCUGCGCGCUUAGGAUGUAGACCGGCGUGUUGGCCUCUCUAUUGAGCCUAGGUAGGGCUACGACGUGUUGAUCUUCCGAGGCCGGGCAUGAACCAGGAAAGUGUGUCCGGCUAGAGUGAUCGAGUGUGUUGGGUAAUGUGGUGCACCCCUGCAGGGAAGAUAAUCUAUUCAAAUAGUUGUGUCCACAGUAACAGGAUGACUUGGAGUUGUAUCCCGAUCUUUACAACUAGAAAUGGAUACUAGAAUUGUGAAAUGAAUAUGUUGGCUUUGGGAUCUCUUUCUCGUAGGGAGUCGAGAAAGGAUCUCUGGGCGUUAAUACUACAACAUACUUGCUUAAUAAUAUGUUACUCUAUACUCUUCUAAAUGCUGCAAGAUGCUUUAAGAUGCUAGUCUUCGAUAGGCUAGGCUUUCCCCCUCUUCUGGCAUUUCUGCAGUUCAGUCCAAAGAUAUAGCCCCAUUCCUUUGAUACUGAUGCAUAAUUAGUUUAGAUCUGAUGUAAGUCUUGCGAGUACUUUGGAUGAGUACUCAUAGUUGCUUUGCUACAUUUUUUCCCUGUACCCAGUUGCUGCGAUCAGAUGGUGGAUCCUAGGAGCCAGAUGCCACCACUGACGACUAUUACUACUCCCCAAGGGUGCCAACUACUACAUGGAGACCGCCGACGACCAAGAGUAGUUAGGAGGUUCCCAGGCAGGAGGCCUUGCCUUUUUGAUCUAUGAUGAUUUUGUGCUAGCCUUCUUAAGGCAAACUUGUUUAACUUAUGUAUGUACUCAGAUAUUCUUUCUUUCGCUGACUCGUUUAUAUUCGAGCUUAUGUAUUCAAGCCCUCGAGGCCCCUGGCUUGCAAUGUAAGGUUUGUAUUAUUUUAAUUUGUGUUUAGAGUUGUGUUGUGAUAUCUUCUCGUGAGUCCCUGAUCUUGAUCGUGCACAAUUGUGUGUAUGAUUAGUGCACAAUUGAAUCGGGGGCAUCACAUCGCAGGAGCUCGAACCCCGAGUGGGUCGAGCCACUCACCCCUGCCAGCAAUCCUGAGUGGGUCUAGCCAGUCA